CAACCCGCAAGGCCGACGGCAUCCGCCGCCGCUGGUGCAAGUCCAGCCGCCCUACCAGGGCGGGCGCUCAUGGGUCAC
rnacentral:ribozyme from 1 species